rnacentral:tRNA from 1 species
AGAAAUAUGUCUGAUAAAAGAGUUACUUUGAUAGAGUAAAAAAUAGAGGUUCAAACCCUCUUACUUUUCUA